UUUUUUUAAAUUCUUCUUGUGCACCAAAUAUUCAAUUUAUCCCUAGUAAAAACCCUUAACACCAAAUCAUCUUCUUUUGCACCUCAAUUGGCCAUAUCCUCCACCCACCGUAGAAAUGCAGAAAUGAUGAAGAAGGGUUGGGUGGCUGAGAAAAAAAUACAUCACAGUAAUUUGAGAACAAGAACUAAAAGCAGGCUAUUCGGUGAGGGUUUUUCAUAUCCUCCCAAUUUGGUCAUUCUUGAAGAAAUUCCUCAAGAAAAACCUGGAAUUUUUUCUCCUAAUAUAACUAUUGAACAGUCUUUUAC
rnacentral:lncRNA from 1 species